CCCUUAGAUGUUCUGGGCUGCACGCGUGCUACAAUGAAGCGUCCAACAAGAUGCGAAGCCGAAAGGCUCAGCGGAUCUUUGAAGUCGUUUCGUGACCGGGACAGUUGAUUGCAAUUAUUCGACUCGAACGAGGAAUUCCUUGUAAUCGCGAUUCAUCAUAUCGCGCUGAAUACGUCCCUGCCCUUUGUACACACCGCCCGUCGCUCCUACCGAUUGAGCGAUCCGGUGAAUUAUUUGGAGUGUCCACGCAAGCCAAUCCGUUUACGUGGGUGCGAAAUUUUGUAAACCUUAUCGCUUAGAGGAAGGAAAAGUCGUANCA
rnacentral:rRNA from 1 species